rnacentral:rRNA from 1 species
UUAAAGAAAUUUUUUUUACCCCUAAGUAUUUAAAGUUAUGUACUUGAAAUUUGAAGAAUUUGGCGGUGAUUUAGUCUUGUCAGAGGAACCUGUUUUUGAAUCGAUACACCACGAAGAAUCUUACUUAAGCUUGUAAAGGCAGUAUGUAUACCAUCAUUAUUAGGUAAUUUUUAUAGAAUAAAUUACUGAACGAUAAUUAUUAACAAUAUUAAAUAUAUUAGAUCAAGGUGCAGCUAAUGCUUAAGUUAAAAUGGGUUACAAUAAAAAUUUAUUUAAUACGGAAUAUUAAUUCAAAUAAUUAAUUAGAAGGAGGAUUUGAUUGUAAAUUAAAUUUAAUAUGUUUAGUUAGAUAUAAGCUCUAAAUCAUGUACACACCGCCCGUCACCCUCGU